rnacentral:rRNA from 1 species
AUACAGGGUGACAGCCCCGUACACAAAAGCGCAUGUGCUGUGAGCUCGAUGAGUAGGGCGGGACACGUGGUAUCCUGUCUGAAUAUGGGGGGACCAUCCUCCAAGGCUAAAUACUCCUGACUGACCGAUAGUGAACCAGUACCGUGAGGGAAAGGCGAAAAGAACCCCGGCGAGGGGAGUGAAAAAGAACCUGAAACCGUGUACGUACAAGCAGUGGGAGCCCCACCACCAAAGCAUUCUCUGGUGUUGAAGGCCCUGCAAAGCAGCAUCGCGGUGGCGGAGCGUCGUUUGCGACGCCCAACACACAAAACAAGCGGUGAGUGCUUUGGGGUGGGGUGACUGCGUACCUUUUGUAUAAUGGGUCAGCGACUUAUAUUCUGUAGCAAGGUUAACCGAAUAGGGGAGCCGGAGGGAAACCGAGUCUUAAUUGGGCGUUAAGUUGCAGGGUAUAGACCCGAAACCCGGUGAUCUAGCCAUGGGCAGGUUGAAGGUUGGGUAACACUAACUGGAGGACCGAACCGACUAAUGUUGAAAAAUUAGCGGAUGACCUGUGGCUGGGGGUGAAAGGCCAAUCAAACCGGGAGAUAGCUGGUUCUCCCCGAAAGCUAUUUAGGUAGCGCCUCGUGAAUU